rnacentral:pre_miRNA from 1 species
UGUUAAACAUUGUAUCUAUUUUUAUUGUUAACUGGUGUGGUUGAUAGAAUAACCGGAUAGUGAUAGUAACGUGCUACAUGUACAUCAUGUUGAUGUACAAGAUUAGUUUUUAAUCGUAGAAGUGGAUGGAAUUCUUAACA